rnacentral:rRNA from 1 species
AGUCGAGGGGUAGAAGGAGCUUGCUCCUUUGAGACCGGCGCACGGGUGCGUAACGCGUAUGCAAUCUACCUUUUACAGAGGAAUAGCCCAGAGAAAUUUGGAUUAAUGCCUUAUAGUUUAUGCUUGUGGCAUCACAUACAUAAUAAAGAUUUAUCGGUAAAAGAUGAGCAUGCGUCCCAUUAGCUAGUUGGUAUGGUAACGGCAUACCAAGGCAAUGAUGGGUAGGGGUCCUGAGAGGGAGAUCCCCCACACUGGUACUGAGACACGGACCAGACUCCUACGGGAGGCAGCAGUGAGGAAUAUUGGUCAAUGGAGGCAACUCUGAACCAGCCAUGCCGCGUGCAGGAAGGCGGUCCUAUGGAUUGUAAACUGCUUUUAUACAGGAAUAAACCUAUCCUCGUGAGGAUAGCUGAAGGUACUGUAGGGAUAAGGAUCGGCUAACUCCGUGCCAGCAGCCGCGGUAAUACGGAGGAUCCAAGCGUUAUCCGGAAUCAUUGGGUUUAAAGGGUUCGUAGGCGGUUUAAUAAGUCAGUGGUGAAAUCUCCUAGCUUAACUAGGAAAUGGCCAUUGAUACUGUUAGACUUGAAUUAUUGGGAAGUAACUAGAAUAUGUAGUGUAGCGGUGAAAUGCUUAGAUAUUACAUGGAAUACCAAUUGCGAAGGCAGGUUACUAUCAAUACAUUGACGCUGAU